GAUGAACGCUGGCGGCGUGCCUAAUACAUGCAAGUCGAGCGAACAGACGAGGAGCUUGCUCCUCUGACGUUAGCGGCGGACGGGUGAGUAACACGUGGAUAACCUACCUAUAAGACUGGUAUAAUUUCGGGAAACCGGAGCUAAUACCGGAUAAUAUAUUGAACCGCAUGGUUCAAUAGUGAAAGACGGUUUUGCUGUCACUUAUAGAUGGAUCCGCGCCGCAUUAGCUAGUUGGUAAGGUAACGGCUUACCAAGGCAACGAGGCGUAGCCGACGUGAGAGGGUGAUCGGCCACCCUGGAACUGGGACACGGUCCAGACUCCUACGGGAGGCAGCAGUAGGGAAUCUUACGCAAUGGGCGAAAGCCUGACGGAGCAACGCCGCGUGAGUGAUGAAGGUCUUCGGAUCGUAAAACUCUGUUAUUAGGGAAGAACAAAUGUGUAAGUAACUAUGCACGUCUUGACGGUACCUAAUCAGAAAGCCACGGCUAACUACGUG
rnacentral:rRNA from 1 species